GUUUCAAAGUCAUGCUGUGCUUGCACUCCAAGAAGCCGCUGAAGCGUAUUUAGUUGGUCUCUUUGAGGACACCAACUUGUGUGCCAUCCAUGCUAAGAGAGUCACCAUAAUGCCCAAGGAUAUUCAACUUGCAAGACGUAUUCGUGGAGAACGAGCUUAAGCUGUUCAAGAUGCUGAUUAAUCAAUCUCUUUUUGAUUAUUCGUGUAUGUUUUUAGCCUUAACGUACCGAAACUAGUAUAUCUUUUGUUUGUGCCUGGAUGUACAUCAGUGGAUGCAUAUCUAAAGGACCUUAUUGUGUUGCUCAAUACAUUGAUUAAUAUGAAC
rnacentral:misc_RNA from 1 species